rnacentral:rRNA from 1 species
AUUGAACGCUGGCGGCAGGCCUAACACAUGCAAGUCGAACGAGUGGCGGACGGGUGAGUAAUGUCUGGGAAACUGCCUGAUGGAGGGGGAUAACUACUGGAAACGGUAGCUAAUACCGCAUACCAUCAGAUGUGCCCAUAUGGGAUUAGCUAGUUGGGGGGGUAACGGCUCACCUAGGCGACGAUCCCUAGCUGGUCUGAGAGGAUGACCAGCCACACUGGAACUGAGACACGGACCAGACGCCUACGGGAGGCAGCAGUGGGGAAUAUUGCACAAUGGGCGCAAGCCUGAGGCAGCCAUGCCGCGUGUAUGAAGAAGGCCUUAGGGUUGUAAAGUACUUUCAGCGGGGAGGCGUUACCCGCAGAAGAAGCACCGGCUAACUCCGUGCCAGCAGCCGCGGUAAUAC